rnacentral:lncRNA from 1 species
AUCAUCUACAUAAAUAUAAAAAAUUAUUAUUAAUAUUAUUAUUAUUAUUCUUUCUAUCAACGACUUAAGAUUAAAACAUACGAACGUCGAAACAAUCUUUUCUUCGUUAUCUCCUUGCAAAAUACAUUAACCUCUUUUUUGCAAAUAAAAAAUAGAUAAAAAAAUAUCUUGCCUGUUAUUUUUAUUUAGUAGUAGUAGUAAUAAUAAUAAUAAUAAUGAUAAUGAUAAGAAUAGAAAAAGAAUCCAAAAUCAAGUGCAAAAAAAGAGCAAAUUGGUGUGGCAAAAUUACACACACACACACACGCAGGACAAGUACGCAAAUAUAUGCUCGUAUUUCUGUUUCUGCUUGAUUGAAGAAAAAAAAAUGGAAUGAAGGUGUAGAACAACGUUAGAAUAAUUUCAUUUUAAAGGAUAAAACAAAGAUACGGAUAAAAGAAAGAUGAUAUUUCAGUGCAAACAAAUAACCAGAUUAUUACAUUGCAAAAUUGUAAAAUACUGAUAGAUGGUCAUAUUAUCGAUAAAUAAUGAUCAUCAUGAAGUGAGAGUAUUAAAGAAGAAGAAAAAAAAACGUCUCUUUCUCCCUUCGAAAAACGAUAAUUACGAGAUAGGAAUUUGCCACGGUCUCAAGUCUUUCUUUUCUUUCUCUCUCUUUUUGCUGGGUACGAGAGUCGCGAACGCGGGCGAACAGAGAUAAAAAAAAAAAAAAGGAAGACAGAAAGAAAGAAAGAGACA